GACGAACGCUGGCGGCGUGCUUAACACAUGCAAGUCGAGCGAUGAAAGCCUUAUGAACUAUUCGUAGUGAUUGGGGCCGGAUUAGCGGCGGACGGGUGAGUAACGCGUGAGCAACCUGCCUUAAACAACGGGAUAGCCUCGGGAAACCGGGAUUAAUACCGUAUGAGACCCCGCCUUCACAUGAAAAAGAGGUUAAAGAUUUAUCGGUUUAGGAUGGGCUCGCGUCUGAUUAGCUAGUUGGUGAGAUAAAAGCCCACCAAGGCAACGAUCAGUAACCGGCUUGAGAGAGUGAACGGUCACAUUGGAACUGAGACACGGUCCAAACUCCUACGGGAGGCAGCAGUGGGGAAUAUUGCACAAUGGGGGAAACCCUGAUGCAGCGACGCCGCGUGAGCGAUGAAGGAAUUCGUUUCGUAAAGCUCUGUCCAAGGGGAAGAUAAUGACAGUACCCUUGGAGGAAGCCCCGGCUAAAUACGUGCCAGCCGCCGCGGUAAAAC
rnacentral:rRNA from 1 species